CCAUUAAGUGGGUUGUUUGAGGAAAGAUACAUACAUAUGUGCGCGCUUCGCAGUAUAAAAUCAAAAAACACACUAUAUAAAAUAAUGACAAAAGAAAGGCGAAGGUGUGAUGCAGGAAAGCCAUGUAUACGUAGUGCAACAUUCACUUUUGCUAUGUCACGCAGAGGGAAAGAAAAUUUGUAAAUACCAAUGCGAAGACGAUGAACAAAAAACAUGUUGCAAAAAAACCAGCAACGAUUCGAGAAGUAAGGAAGCCUUCGGCGGAAUAUGUAUACAGUUGAAUAUCGCUAGCUGGGGAGUCAAUGCUUCUUAACUUUACCAAAAUCAUGUCACAUUGCUGACAAAACGCAAUAGCGAACGAAGCACGAAGGGCAUUUUGACGUUUCUAAAAUUAGCAAUAAUAUGGGAGGGUGGGAUUUAUUUUUUAUUAUAGUAGAAUCCACCUUUUCCUUGUGUAUAGAGAAUUACCGCAAUGUCCUCCACAAUGAUAGGAACAAACAAAAAUUAUCAAGCGCCGGCUCGUCAACUUCAGCACUUCCUGUCGUUAUAUUGAAAAAAAAAACUAUUUUAUUUUAUUUUCACUUAUUUCUAAUUUAAAAUACAAUAUAGUAUACAAA